CCUACGGGCGGCAGCAGUGGGGAAUAUUGGACAAUGGGGGGAACCCUGAUCCAGCCAUGCCGCGUGUGUGAAGAAGGCCCUCGGGUUGUAAAGCACUUUCAGUGAGGAAGAACGCCUGGUGGUUAAUACCCAUCAGGAAAGACAUCACUCACAGAAGAAGCACCGGCUAACUCCGUGCCAGCAGCCGCGGUAAUACGGAGGGUGCGAGCGUUAAUCGGAAUUACUGGGCGUAAAGCGCGCGUAGGUGGCUUGAUAAGCCGGUUGUGAAAGCCCCGGGCUCAACCUGGGAACGGCAUCCGGAACUGUCAAGCUAGAGUGUAGGAGAGGAAGGUAGAAUUCCCGGUGUAGCGGUGAAAUGCGUAGAGAUCGGGAGGAAUACCAGUGGCGAAGGCGGCCUUCUGGACUGACACUGACACUGAGGUGCGAAAGCGUGGGUAGCAAACAGGAUUAGAUACCCCAGUAGUC
rnacentral:rRNA from 1 species